rnacentral:rRNA from 1 species
AUACGUAGGGUGCGAGCGUUUUUCGGCAUGCUUGGGCGUAAAGGGAGCGUAGGCGGCUCGGGAAGUCUGGAGUGAAAGUCCUGUUUUUAAGCUGGGAAUUGCUUUGGAUACUGUCGGGCUUGAGUGCGGGAGGGGUGAGUGGAGUUCUCAGUGUAGCGGUGAAAUGCGUAGAGAUUGGGAGGAACACCAGUGGCGAAGGCGACUUACUGGACUGUAACUGACGCUGAGGCGCGAAAGUGUGGGGAGCAAACAGGAUUAGAUACCCUGGUAGUCCACACUGUAAACGAUGAAUGCUAGGUGUAGGGGGUAUCGACCCCUUCUGUGCCGCAGUCAACACAAUAAGCAUUCCGCCUGGGGAGUACGGCCGCAAGGUUGAAACUCAAAUGAAUUGACGGGG